rnacentral:tRNA from 1 species
CUCUCCUUAGCUCAGUUGGUUAGAGCAUCUGACUGUUAAUCAGAGGGUCGCUGGUUCAAGUCCAACAGGGGAGC